GACGAACGCUGGCGGCGUGCCUAAUACAUGCAAGUCGAGCGAAUCACUAGGAGCUUGCUCCUGGUGGUUAGCGGCGGACGGGUGAGUAACACGUGGGCAACCUGCCUGUAAGACUGGGAUAACACCGGGAAACCGGUGCUAAUACCGGAUAAUCCUUUUCCUCUCAUGAGGAAAAGCUGAAAGUCGGUUUCGGCUGACGCUUACAGAUGGGCCCGCGGCGCAUUAGCUAGUUGGUGAGGUAACGGCUCACCAAGGCGACGAUGCGUAGCCGACCUGAGAGGGUGAUCGGCCACACUGGGACUGAGACACGGCCCAGACUCCUACGGGAGGCAGCAGUAGGGAAUCUUCCACAAUGGACGAAAGUCUGAUGGAGCAACGCCGCGUGAGCGAUGAAGGCCUUCGGGUCGUAAAGCUCUGUUGUUAGGGAAGAACAAGUACCGGAGUAACUGCCGGUACCUUGACGGUACCUAACCAGAAAGCCACGGCUAACUAUGUGCCAGCAGCCGCAGUAACAC
rnacentral:rRNA from 1 species